CGAUCAGGAAGCAAGGACGGCAAAUCUCAAGAAAUAAUAUGCUUUUUCUCUGUUUUGUCUGGUCGUAUGAGCUUACGUAAAGUCAGUUGAAAUGGCGCAUUUUAACACGACAUUCCACACAGCGAGUGGCGCACUUGCUAAUGGUGGGAUACGUCACGAUCUGGGAGAAAUCUCAGUGCAACCAGCGAGACAGAGCGAGCAUAUACUUUCGAAGCUAGGUCGGUUUCCAGGCCGAACACGAUCGAGGAAUUCGUCGUAAAAGACGAAAAAUAAUUAAACAAGAAAGAGCGAGAGAGAUAUACAGGGAUGUUUGAAAGAGAAAAAAGAUCUGGGAGGGAAAGAAAAAUGCAGGAGAGAUUUAUUAUCGAGCACGAAAAUAGGAAGAAAAUAGAAGCUAGUCGUUCGUGUACGUACACAAAGAGGGGAACGUGCUGUUGACUUCUGGCGACUGUGGGACAAAGAGAAAAUGUUACGCAGUACGAGCAACAUGUGAGUAAAAUAGCAUAAAUUUAUACAUUCAAAACUAGUCAAAACUGUACUUCUCGUAAUACCAUCCGCAUAUUUUAAAGACAGUGUCCUAUAAAUACGUGAAGUAUCGUAAAGUUCCUGAAACCCGAAGCUAUUAUAUAUUUCGAAUUUCCCAAUUUAAUACCCACACUGAAACAAUUAACAUGUAAUACUACAGAUAUACUCGAUAAAUGUAUAGUGUUCUAUACUGAAUUCUACAGAUCAGCAGACGUAGGUAAACAAUAAUUGCAUGUCUAGUGACUAGUGUUUCUAAGCAGGA